AUAAAUAAAUAAGUAAAUAAAUAAACAAGUACAUAAACCUUACGGUGAUGUCAUAAUAGGACAGAGAGAAAGAUAGAGUAGUGGACCAGGUAAUUUAAAAGGCAUUCAUAAGAAAGGGAGACUCAGAUUUUAAGGAGAACUAAUAUUUGGGGGGCAUAUUAACUGUUUAAACCUAAAACAAAAUUAUCAAAGUUUUAUUAGUAAUCACACUCUUACAUUAAAUUCAUAGGAUAUCUAUGAAGAUGUAACUUUUCAUAAUGCUUUACUAAACGUAAAUGAUAGGCAGGUAACUAAAAAAUACUGUGAAAGCUGGGCACAGUGGUACACAUACAUCUGUAGCCACAGCGAAACAGAAAGAUCAGAGGUGGGAAUCACUUUAGUACGUGAGCUGUGAGUAGCCUGGGCCACAGGAAAACACUGUUAUAAGCAAACAAACAUAGUUUGGGAAUGCAGAACUACUGAUCAAAGAAGGUAUCCCAACAUCUGCUUGAAGAUGCUAGAGCAAUGGUUCUCAACUUGUGGGUCACAACCCUUGGGAGGGGCUAUCAACCCUUUCACAGGGGUACCCUAAGACCGUCAGAAAACACAGAUAUUUAUAGCAUGAUUUAUAGCAGUAUGAUUCAUAGCAUUACUGUUACGAAGUUGUAAGUAUGGUUGAUGGUCAUAGCAUUAGGAAGGUUGAGAACCGCUGCUCUAGGAAGCUAUGACCUGAGAUUUUCCUUUCUUUCUAUGGAAAUCGAACUCCUUAGGUGCUAAAGCAGAAACCAGGAGUUCAGGUAGGCCGUAUGUGCUGAGCUAGCUGUGGCGUUUUCCCUUAAGUCUCCCUUUAGACUUGCCUUCCCCAGACUAGCAUCAACCCCUGGAGAAUGGUGGGAGGGCUCCGCUUUAUCUACACCCUGUCAGGUCUUGUACAUGGAAAGUGGACACUGAUUUUCCUGGCAGGGAUUGUGUAUCUCGUGCUCUAGAUUAUUCAAUCAGAAGACCAAGUGUGCCACCCCCUUAGUAAAUCUUGCUAACCUUGAUUUAGGUUAAAAGUAUCAUUGGUAUUUAGUUUCUUAGAUAAUAAUUAAAGCAAGGCUGUAGGAUCUUUAUUUUCAUUUUGGAAACUUGCAAGGUAAAACUGAAAGUGAAUUUAGAGUUUCUUUUUCUUUCUCUUCUGAAUAAUAUAAGCUAACAGAAUAAUACUUUUACAGCAGAACAUAACAAUUAGCCCAUUUUCCCUCAUAUGCUACCUAAUGAUAUUUUUAAGAUAAAAAAUAUGGCUGGUAAUACACCUCAACCCUCAAAAUAAAUUGAAAUAUAAACUAUAUUUUUAUACUAAGAUUAUUUUUCUUAUUGGAGAGCAAUCAAUUGGUAUAUUUCUCUUCUAGAACACAGCAAUUUGAAUUUUGUUGUUGAUUUUUUAAAAGCAAAAUGCCAACAUAUUAAGCCAUCUUUGUAGGAUGAAAUUUUAAUCACUUUAUCAAUUUUUAAAAAUCAUUGAGUAAGAAUGUAUAGACGUGUUUGGGGAGAUAGGCCACCUCAGAACUCUGUAAGCAUUCCACAUUCAUGACUCUUCUAAGUCCAUUCUACGCUGCAGUGUAUUAGUUUUUUUCUUUUCACUGCCAUGUGAAAAACUGCUUUUCAAGAGAGUUUCUCUGUGCAGUCAGUCCUGGCUGUCCUGGAGCUUUCUCUGUGUAUAGAACAGGCUGGCCUCAAACUCAGAGAUCUGCUUGCCUCUCUGCUACAUGAAUUUUAAGAAGUAUAAACUUUCGCAAUCAUGCUAACACAAUGCAUUGUCUGUAAAUGGAUUAGAACGGUAAUUGUGUCUUAGCUUCAUUGUGAGUACUCAGCUCAAGGUAUUAUGAGGGAAGCUCUUCCUAGGCCUGCCUCCAGUCUGGAAAGCAGUCUCUGUUAUUUAUCUCUCUGUGUAUCCAUGGCAGUUCUUUGCCAUCCAUAUAUCUCCACCUAUUUAGCUGAUGUAAAUUAAGCAUUCUAGAAGUGGCAAUGCUUGACAGCCAAACUUGUAAAACAGUAAACAAUUGACAAUCAAAAUAACGAAACAGCUGUUGGUUUCUUUUUUUUUUCUUUAUAAAAAAUGAUAUGUAAUUUACAAUGAAUGCCAAUUAAAAUUAUUAACCAAUAUACUUAAAUUUUCUUUGUCUUAUUGUCAAAUAGCUAUGUGAAUUACCACAGUUUCUUAAUUUUUCCAAAGGAUUUCUGAAGCUCCCCCUGACCCAGAUUAAAUCCUAAUCGUGAAUCAUAAGUAUGUGAGACUUCUGCACUGUAAAAGGUAAGCUUAUCGACAACAUAAAACCAGAAGGUAUUCGCGUGAUAGUGUGCGAUCCAGCACAAGGGAUUGCUGUGCUGAUGGUUAUUUCCAUUAAAUAUAAUGAUUACAACCAAACCCCAAUGGAACUGGAUCUUACAAUCAUCAAUAACCACUUAGAUUAACACAUUAAGAGCUUUAAUGUACAGAUACAUGACAAAAUGUAAUUUUAAAAGCAGGGAUGUCUCACUUUGGUUGUGGAGAGGAAAGGGGUAAGUCGUGGAUGAGUAGCUGUCAACUGAAAGCUCGAACAGUUAGUCGCUGUUACUAAUGUACUAUAAUGACUUGCUGUACAUGUCCCUUGCAGGAAGAGCACACCCCAUUUCAUUACUGCUUCAGUACGGCUUCCCUGCCUCUUGGUAAUUAUUUCAGGAUAAGUGAUAAGGGGCUCGUUGUUUCAAGCAGUGAUCUGUGAUGGUAUGAGAUACCAAUCCACUUUUUCAAUCUCUGCUCUAUAUUAGCUAUUUCGUCCUCCCCCAACCAAAGUGUCAAAGAAUGAAGUAAACCCUGGCUCUAUCAGCCAAUGGGGGCUCAGACAUUUUAUCAACGUUCACUUUAUAUUAAAUGAAUAAAAAACAGAUCAAGGGUUUUCAUUUUGAAAGUCAGAGUUUCUUUGAAAUUCUUACUUUCAGUAUUUAUAUUAUAGUUUUAGAUCUCAGAGAUUGGUGCUUUAGGCAAUGAGCAAACAUUUAUGGAGCACCGUCUGUGGGUAACAUUUAUGCAUUGAGCAAAGGCACAAACUAAACCUGGUCUGCCCCAGAUAGCAGUGUCCAGGAGAGAUGAGUGCAGAGACUGUAAUCAUGGCGCAAAGAGAGACAGUUAAUGUCAGUGCAGGCUGUGGGACAGUCACAGAGGGGAGGUGCAGGACUCUGAAUGGCUGGACUGGAUUCUGACUGACAGUGCUCAGGAGAUCCAAGCAAAGGACAGGAGGAAGAGUUAGAAAUGUAUGGUGUGUUGAGGAUGUUACUGCUAGGAAGUGACAGCACAGUGAGGCAGUUAGAAAAAUAGUUUCUGGGGGAUGGACUUCUUGGGCUCUACCUUAGACCAUUAACUAGCUUCCCCAUGCCUUGCCUUACCCAUCUGUAGAGAGGCCACAAUGGGAGCAUCUACUUAAAAAAGACAGCUAUGAGGUUGACUGAGUUACAUUUUUUGUUUUGUAAAAAUGCCCACUAUGAAUUAUUCAAAUGCUUGUUAUUAGUAAAUUUAGAGUACAAGAUGCUUUGGAUGGCAGUGCCAGAAAAGGAUGCAAGCUAUGAAAGUAGGAGGGGUCAGACAGAGAUAAAUGGCUCAUGGUUAAUCCUGAGAGUUUAGCGCAUGUAAAUGUUGACAUAUAUCUAGUUUGAGGCAUGGAGAAAGUCUGAUUAGACACAGGGAGAUGAGUGAGGAAUGUUACAUAGACCAGAAAGAUGGAGACAGUCUGGGAGCGGUGCUGUGAGUCUGAGCCAGGACACUAGGAUGGGAAUGGAGAGAGAAGGGUUGUCCUAACAAGUGUCCUGGAAAUAGAGUUAACAGGACUAGGUGGACUACAGAGUAAUGGCACAAUGACUCGGAGACUGUGGGAAAAUGUCUCCAUGUAACCAAGCUGAGACAAGAAAGAGAAUGCUUAUCUACUUGAUUGGGAUUUUUUAAGGCACACAAUAAAUGUUACUUCUACUCCUUGUGAAACUAUAUCUCUUUUUUUUUUCACUUGAUUUUGAAAAACUAACAACAGAGGGUAAGAAGUAUAUAGUUUGGCUGCAGUCUGUCAUUGGCUUUGCAGUUUCUAAGUCUGAGACCUUGAGUAUAAGUGACAAUGUUAAACCUUUGGACAAUAUCUUUUGGUAAUUUUGCUUUAAUUUUCUUCACUGAGAAUGCAGACUUUCUGGCUGGCCUUGCUUCCCCUUGGUGCUAUGUGAUUCUCUGACACCAGCACAGAUAUAUUUGGUCUUGACAUAUGACACUGGCUGGCAUCAAAAAGAAGGUGGCGAUGAGUGAGCUUACAAGCAGGACCUGGCUAUGCUCAAGACUAAAUGGCACCUGCCACAGGUGUUCCUUGGAACCAGGCUCAGAAAGGGCUGCUUGCUCUGUCUAAAAGAAAUUAAAUAGUUUUUAUUUAGUGAUGUAGAGACUGAAAAUUAUACAUGUGUGAUAUGACAUACCAGAAAAUCCUAUCUAGUAACGGGGUACACCCACAGAUUUUCCUUUUGACCCCUUGUGUUUCUGUAUCUAUAUGUAUGUGUUUGUGUAGGCAUGGUCAUGGGGUCAGUGCCACAGUCAAUGUCCAGGAAACAAUCUUGAGCAUCGGUCUUUGCCUGAAACACGGACCUCAUCCAUGCUCACUGUUCUAUGUGCCUGACUAGCUGGCCCGUGGGUUUCUGCACAUUGUCCUGUGUCUGCCUCCCACUUCUUUACAGGAACAUGAUAUCAUUACAGACACCUCAAUGCUGAGACUGCCAGGCAUGCUUAGUAAGCAGUUUGCCCCCUGAGCCGUACCCUAGCCUGAGUCACUCUAUUUUUAGAUAUAAGGAGUCUCAUUCCUGUGGCAUAGGUUCGGAGGCAGUAGGAUGAAUUUCCUUAACUCCUGAGACCUUUGGAAUGAUCCUACGCUGAGGCAAUUUUUAUAUUUAGAAUACUGAAUAUCUCCUUUAUUCUUGGAGAAUGGUUACAUCUAGUAAGAUGUCUGACAACUAACAAUAAGAGCAAAACUGAACAACCAACCACCUUUUAUUUUCCACAUCAGAUUCGAAAGUAUCAUUGCUAUUUAUAGUAAAAGACCAUUUGCACCCAAGUUAGUAACCAUUGCUCCCACUACUGGCUGUUCCUUUAAUAGUAAUCAAGCUGGCUUCCUGAACUACCGAACACAGUCAACGCAUGGAGACUACUCUUGGGUUAUGUUCUGGUCCUACCCAACCAGUAUGUGACUGCUAGUCUCACCACUGAUCAUAACCAGUGUUUGGCUAGGACUUCAAUCCUGGAAACACCUGACUGAACUUGGUCUGGUUCUUGAACUUUGAGCUUACUCUUUGAAAAGUAUUUUUUGCGGAGAAAAAAUUGAAUUGAAUUCAUUGCCUAGAAAAAUACUAUUGAAUCUAUUUACUAGUUUGGCUGCAUCUAAUUUUUUUAUAAGCUAUUUAAAAUACGAAGCUACUGCUAUUCAUCCUUUCUAUCUACUUUCUGUGUAGUUCUGGAACUUUUUCUGUACCACUCACGGAAGCAGUAAAAACCUAAUACCCAGAAGAGAUACCACCUCCAACAGAUCAUUACGAGUGAAAAUACUGCUCAAAGACAUGCCAGAGGACUCGUGGUAUCACGGCAUAUAGCCUUUAUCAUGAAAAAUUGGGUUUGUGUGUGUACACACACAAAAGAUUCCUAUGAGCCUUCUGAGGUUUUCGGUAAGAGGUGUCCAAGUUUAAAUGUGUGUUUGUUUGUGGCUCACAUCUAGUUUGUUCUUGUUGCCUUCAUUAUUACCAGUUGUUUUCUUUAGAAUUUCCUGCAGCUAUCUGUAACUGGUCGAUUGGCUGGCCUGAAUCAUACAUGUGUCUGCAGUAACACUGUGUUUAUGUUGUGUUAACUAUACUAUGUUCUCUGUUUAUAUCUAUGCCCUCAUAGUCUUCAUUUCAUGCCUUUAUUUCCUUCUGUGUUAUUGAUACUAUAAUAUUGGUAAAAGCAGAUGUUUUACAACUUUCAAAUGACUUUGACUUUUCCUCAUUUUUAAGGGAAAUAAAAAUGCUCAUGUGAUAUGAUAGUAUGUCUGUCCUUUAGGUCAUUUGUGGAUU
rnacentral:sRNA from 1 species